rnacentral:rRNA from 1 species
GAUGAACGCUGGCGGCGUGCCUAACACAUGCAAGUCGAACGGAGUCGUUUUGGAAAUCUCUUCGGAGAUGGAAUUCUCGACUUAGUGGCGGACGGGUGAGUAACGCGUGAGCAAUCUGCCUUUAAGAGGGGGAUAACAGUCGGAAACGGCUGCUAAUACCGCAUAAAGCAUUAAAUUCGCAUGUUUUUGAUGCCAAAGGAGCAAUCCGCUUUUAGAUGAGCUCGCGUCUGAUUAGCUAGUUGGCGGGGUAACGGCCCACCAAGGCGACGAUCAGUAGCCGGACUGAGAGGUUGAACGGCCACAUGGGGACUGAGACACGGCCCAGACGCCUACGGGAGGCAGCAGUGGGGAAUAUUGCGCAAUGGGGGAAACCCUGACGCAGCAACGCCGCGUGAUUGAAGAAGGCCUUCGGGUUGUAAAGAUCUUUAAUCAGGGACGAAACAAAUGACGGUACCUGAAGAAUAAGCGCCGGCUAACUACGUG